ensembl:lncRNA
AUGUUCUCAUUUGAAGUUGUAUGGAUUGCUUUUGUGACACUUUUGAACAUGCUUUGUGUCGUUUUUGAGGCUGAAAACCUUAGGAAUUGCAUAGAAGAGAGCAACAAGCAUCUUAAGAAUUUCUCCUUGUGUUCCACGGAAGAAUUAAGUCAUAAAGGUCUGGAACGACAUGAGGAUCGCAAUGAAAUGCCACAGCUAAAAGUGAUUCAGAGUAAAGACUUGAGCUGACGAACAUCCUGGACUGCCACGCUUAUUUUAUUAUAUUAUUUUCUGUCUCCCAGGUUUAGAACAUCCAUCACUGAUUGUUCAGAAAUGUCUGUUUUUGUUUUUCUUAGCAUAUCAAACAAAUUUAACAAUGAAACAAAAGGUGCACACUCUUUGCUUGUGUCAGUUUUUUUUUUCCUCGUUUGUGUGUAGUUUUGAUUAUUGUGCCAAUGCGUUGUUAUUUCCUGCUUUGCAGGUUGAUUAUUUUGUUUGUGCGAUAAGCAGAUACUUCCCCAAAAGGAAUUGUCUGUAUGAGUGAGACAUAAUCGCUCUCUGAGCUUCUCUACAAACACGUGUUCAGUUUGACUGCAAGUCUGGUGGUCUAAUCACUGAUCCAGUAUAAAGGGUCCCGAAUGGCAGCUCAUUGUUCCCUGCACACCCGUUUCCUCUUUUGCCAGGAUAUGAUGUCUUUGCAUAAGUGAUUCUGCCACAUAUAUUGUGUUCGACUUCUGUUUUUUAUUAUCUGUAUUUUGGCACUGUUAUUCUGUUGGUUUCUUCAUAUGACUCUGUCACCAAAUCAUAUUCCUUGUAUGUGUAAACAUACCUGGCAAUAAAGCUCUUUCUGAUUCAGCUCAGGAAAAACAAGUCCAUAUUUACUCGCCAGCAUCUUUAACUUACAAUAAAGUGGAUCUGGGAUUUUUUUUAUGUAAUAUGUAUUUUAAUUUAUAAACUAUGUAAAUAGGUUUAUGAAAUAAAGUUAAGCUAUUAUAAAAU